UACGGAGGAUGCGAGCGUUAUCCGGAUUCAUUGGGCGUAAAGCGCGCGUAGGCGGCCGCCUAAGCGGAACCUCUAACCCCGGGGCUCAACCUCGGGCCGGGUUCCGGACUGGGCGGCUCGAGUGCGGUAGAGGAGAGCGGAAUUCCCGGUGUAGCGGUGGAAUGCGCAGAUAUCGGGAAGAACACCGAUGGCGAAGGCAGCUCUCUGGGCCGUCACUGACGCUGAGGCGCGAAAGCUGGGGGAGCGAACAGG
rnacentral:rRNA from 1 species